CACACACACACUCAGAGAAGAAAAUUUAGGGCGAUUCAUUGUAUAUUGAAAGUCCACUCUGCAUUUGAAUGAAUUAGCCUCCAGAAGUUCUGCCCAGUUUCAUUGUGGGUCUCACUAAGCCCGAGCAUGGAAGAGGACAAAGUGCUACUGACAAGGUCUAUGCUUGAAGAAGCAAAGUGCAAGACUACUAGCCAAAAUGGCUCCCCUGCCACCAUUUGUGUUGUUUACAGCGCCAUGGUCGCCCUCUGUGGCUCUCUCUGCAUCGGCUACAUUCUUGGAUAUUCUUCACCUGCUGAAGCUGGAAUCAUCGAAGACUUGGACCUUUCUGUUGCAGCUUACUCAGUUUUCGGUUCAAUAGUGACAAUUGGAGGGCUGGUAGGUGGACUGGCAAACGGAAUGAUAAUUGAUCUCCUAGGUCGAAGAGGAUCAAUGUGGAUCUCUGAAAUUUUCAGUUUGGCCGGGUGGUUUUCAAUAGCUUAUGCAAAGUUAAUUCAAGAAGCAAUGCUUGUCACAGAAUGCUUGGUGGCUGGAUUUUGGAAGGCUCUUGCUGGGGUUUGCGUAUGCACUGCUUCACUAUGUGGUAGUUGCAAUACAAAGAUACCUGUAUAUAUUGCUGAAAUAACACCAAAAGGUCUUCGAGGAAGAUUUACUUCUGCUAAUCAGUUGAUGGUUUCUUUAGGCAUUUCACUAAUUUACUUCACUGGAAAUCUUGUUUCCUGGCGCACUUUGGCAGCAUUUGGGGCAAUUCCAUCUCUGCUACAAAUUUUUGGAUUAUUUUUCGUUCCAGAGUCUCCUAGAUGGCUUGCACAACUCGGUAAACAUAAGGAGCUUGAAGCUGCUCUGCAGCUUCUUAGAGGAAAAGAUGCUGACAUUUCUCAAGAAGCAACUGAUAUCAUACAUUUUACAGAAACAUUUCAGAAGCAAACAAAAAGAGUUCUGGACUUGUUCCAGUGGAGAUAUGCUCAUUCACUCACUAUUGGAGUUGGACUCCUCGUGCUGCAACAACUAGCGGGGAGCAAUGCCAUUGUUUCUUAUUCAAGCUCUAUAUUUACAGAUGCUGGCUUUUCAAGUAGCAUUGGGACUAUUUCAAUGGCUAUUAUCCAGAUACCUUCUGUUACAUUGAGUAUGCUCUUGACAGAUAAAUUGGGAAGACGACCACUUCUAUUGAUAUCUGCAGCGGGAAUGUGCUUGAGUUGCAUUCUUCUAGGCUUGUCAUUCUGCUUUCAGUUCAAGGAGCUCACUCCUAUAUUGGUGUAUAUCGGCAUGCUGGGGUAUUGUGUUGCAAUAACAAGUGGGAUGGGAGGGCUACCAUGGGUUAUAAUAUCAGAGUUUAUGAGUUUUGCAGAUAUUCCCUAUAAAUGUUAAGGGUUCAGCUGGAAGCCUUGUGACUAUGGCAAACUUCUCAAGUUCUUUGAUUGUAACUUUCACUUUCAAAUUUAUGAUGGAAUGGAGCUCAGCUGUAACUUUCUCCAUUUUCUCGGGAGUUUGCGGAUUAACAGUUGUUUUCAUUGCGAAGCUGGUACCAGAGACUAAAGGGAGAAGUUUAGAAGAAAUACAGGCCUCAAUAACUGAGAUUUAACUCUUUAAUGAAAUGAAUUUCCCUUUAUAUUAUGGACCAUGUAUUUAUGCUCAAAGGGUUCUUCUAGGCUACAUAUUUGGUACACUACAUUUCCAUCUUUUUGGAGGAAACAAAUAUUAGUUUUUAUAUUCUUAUACAGAAGUAGUGUUAAACGUUAUAAAUCCAUCUCUUUGUUCUA